UACGUAGGGUGCAAGCGUUAAUCGGAAUUACUGGGCGUAAAGCGUGCGCAGGCGGUUUUGUAAGUCUGUCGUGAAAUCCCCGGGCUCAACCUGGGCAUUGCGAUGGAGACUGCAAGGCUAGAAUCUGGCAGAGGGGGGUAGAAUUCCACGUGUAGCAGUGAAAUGCGUAGAGAUGUGGAGGAACACCGAUGGCGAAGGCAGCCCCCUGGGUCAAGAUUGACGCUCAUGCACGAAAGCGUGGGGAGCAAACAGG
rnacentral:rRNA from 1 species